UACGGAGGGUGCAAGCGUUAUCCGGAUUCACUGGGUUUAAAGGGUGCGUAGGUGGAUUAGUAAGUCAGUGGUGAAAUCUCCGGGCUUAACCCGGAAACUGCCAUUGAUACUAUUAGUCUUGAAUACCGUGGAGGUAAGCGGAAUAUGUCAUGUAGCGGUGAAAUGCUUAGAUAUGACAUAGAACACCAAUUGCGAAGGCAGCUUACUACAGGGAUAUUGACACUGAGGCACGAAAGCGUGGGGAUCAAACAGGA
rnacentral:rRNA from 1 species